GGAGAGGUGGCCGAGUGGUCGAAGGCGGCAGACUCGAAAUCUGUUGAACCUCUAAAGGGUUCCGUGGGUUCGACUCCCACCCUCUCCG
rnacentral:tRNA from 1 species